GAUGAACGCUAGCGGCAGGCCUAACACAUGCAAGUCGAGGGGUAACAGGGAGUGCUUGCACUCUGCUGACGACCGGCGCACGGGUGCGUAACGCGUAUGCAACCUACCUUCUACAGGGGGAUAGCCCAGAGAAAUUUGGAAUAAUACCCCAUACGAUCUUUCCUUGGCAUCGAGGAGAGAAGAAAACUUCGGUGGUAGAAGAUGGGCAUGCGUCCUAUUAGUUAGUUGGUGAGGUAACGGCUCACCAAGACAUCGAUAGGUAGGGGCCCUGAGAGGGGGAUCCCCACACUGGUACUGAGACACGGACCAGACUCCUACGGGAGGCAGCAGUGAGGAAUAUUGGACAAUGGAGGCAACUCUGAUCCAGCCAUGCCGCGUGCAGGAAGACUGCCCUAUGGGUUGUAAACUGCUUUUAUACAGGAAGAAACUGCGCUACGUGUAGCGUACUGACGGUACUGUAAGAAUAAGGAUCGGCUAACUCCGUG
rnacentral:rRNA from 1 species